CAUGUCCUUUUGAUUAUGAUUUAAGGUUUGAUCUGCUCAAUGAGGAUUUAAAUUGCCGCGGUAUUUUGACCGUGCAAAGGUAGCAUAAUAAUUAGUUUUUUUAUUGAAAGCUGGAAUGAAUGAUUGGACGAGAAAGUUACUGUCUCUAAAUAAAUUGUUUUUGAAUUUAACUUUUGAGUAAAAAGGCUUAAAUUUUUUUUAAAGACGAGAAGACCCUAUAGAGUUUAAUUCUUUGAUUAAUUGGAUGUUUUUGGUUAUUUAUGUUCUUAUUGUUCUUAGAAUUUAGUUGGGGUGACUAGAAGAUUAAUUUAACUCUUCUAAUUUUAAAUCAUUUAUUUGUGAAUGGAAAAUCUAAUUUUUUUAAAUUUAAUAUAAAUUACCUUAGGGAUAACAGCGUAAUUUCUUUUUAGAGUUCUUAUUGAAAAGGAAGUUUGCGACCUCGAUGUUGGAUUAAAAUUAAUUUUUGGUGCAGAAGCUUAAAAAUUGGGUCUGUUCGACCUUUGAAAUUUUACAUGAUCUGAGU
rnacentral:rRNA from 1 species